GCUUGUAACAUCCUUCCUGAGAAGGCUCUGCUUGACCCCCAUACCACCGUUUCUUCCCAUUUUCUAGCCUGAAGUUAACCUCCUGCAAUAAGGGGCAGUCAUAUUAUGGUGUUCCUUUUCCCCUGAUAGUGUAUACAUAGCUCCCUGUUCAGAUACUCUUUGCCAUCCUUUUACCAUCCCUACGCUGAUGCUUCCCCAAGAUACAGCACUGGUUCCUUCCUUCCUGAAGCUGCCCAGCCUGGCAAGAAGACUGAUGGUGACAAGAAAAUGAACUUGGGAAUAAAGGAGGUGAAGAUAAAAUUGUUUCAAGAAAGUAAAGUGAGCUGCAGAAACACAUAUUUCAUGAAUUUAACUUAAGCAGGAAGACUUCAAGACAAGGGUUUGAAAUUCAGGGUAUGAGAUGGCAGAUGCAGAAAUCUCAACUCUUUCACCAUAGUUUCCAGAAGGUGAAAGAAUGACCUAUCACCUUCCAGCAUUAUGAUAGCUGACUAAUAGUGGCGAAGCUUCCAGAUGUGUAUUAUUUUUGAUAAGAUGAACAUUUAAGAUAGACUGACCAUACAUAUCCUAAGGCACUUCUACCAUACAGCUCCCUACCCACCCAACCAGACUGUGAAAGGUUCCAAGCUCCUAGUGAUAGGAUCAGUUUCUGGUGCCUCAUUGGGUAUAAGUGCUUGUUAUACAGACCUGACAACUUGAGUUGGAGCGACAGAAACAUACAAAGCUUUCAUUUGGAGGUCACAGAUCCAGUGUCAGGUGCUGCCAUGGGUUUCUUCUCUGGUGAGCAUCUCACUAUGAGAGUGGAGAAAGGUAUAGCAAUCAGCCAAUCAAGAAGCCAGAGGGACAUGUGGACAGACUUCUUUUUAAAUAACCAUGGUAUAUCAAGAGCUGCACUCCUGCUGCUGAUCAGAGUACCCUGUGAUCUGAGCACCUAGCACUAGCUUUCACAAUGAGUAUGUGUGUGAGCUUGUAAAUGCAUGCACUAAUUUAUUGAUUGGUCCCUAAAUUUUGAAACUUAAUUCAUAUCCCUUUCUGCUGCCUCAUUUUUCCAAUGUGCAGUCUCUCCCAGGAUACCCCCUGGCUACAUUGAGCAGAGACCCAUACAAGUUAUUUUCAUUCUCCUUUCCACCUUCCAAUUCCAACUCCCUGUUCUUAACCCCAGUUUGAUAGUGAUCACCCGCUGCUGCCUCUCUUUCCUUCUGCCCCUAUUGCAGGCAACGAAGCAGAUCCUCUCCUAUUCUUAUCCCAUUCCUUUGUCUCACCCACAAACACCAUAGAUAUUCUCUCCCUAGAAAACCUGAGGCCAAGUCCAAUGGAAAAUAAGACCCUAACAUACCAGGCAGGUACAUCCCAUUUCCACCAUGAUUAAGAGUCUCUAUGAAAUCAAUAAUGAUGUCUUCCUCAGUGUCCCAAGUACCUGGGACAAAAUGGAAUUUCAGAUGUUGUGAAGGUGACACUGACUCCUGAGGAAGAGGCCUGCCUGAAGAAGAGUGCAGACUCCCUCUGGGGAAUCCAAAAGGAGCUGCAGUUCUAAAGUUUGCUCAGUGUCCUAGCACUUCACUGUCCAGGCUGCAGCAAGGGUUCUAUGGAGACCACACACGUUCCUUCUCAUCUGAGCUGUGGUUGGUACAAUUGUGCUAAGCAUUAGAAACAUACACUAUGCACUGGGAACAGAGACAAGAACACAGUGUCUGUGGAAGGCCAGCCUCCUAGCCUGAAAAGGUAGACAGCUGUUACCAUUCCAGACUCCUCUGGCUCCUGGAAACAAAGUGAAAUGAAGCUGUUUGCAGCUGCAGGAAUCAGCACUGCCAUCUGCUUGGCUCCCCAGAAGCUCCCGGCCAAGGACUUUGUAUCCAACUGUUUCACAGCAGAUCAGGCAGUUUUCUGUGGGGAAACGCUUUGAAGGUCACCCCUCAUCAUCUCCAGAAGGCCAUUUCCAGAAAGAAGCACACGGCAGUCCUGACCCUUAGCAAUCUAUCUCUGCU